rnacentral:rRNA from 1 species
AACGAACGCUGGCGGCGUGGAUAAGACAUGCAAGUCGAACGAGAGUUUGUUUAUAGCAAUAUGAGCGAACUUUAGUGGCGAAAGGGUGCGUAACACGUGGCUAUCUACCUCGAAGUGGGGGAUAUCUCCGAGAAAUCGGAGUUAAUACCGCAUGUGACCGCAAGGUCAAAGCUGGGGAUCGUAAGACCUGGCGCUUUGAGAUGAGGCUGCGGCCUAUCAGGAGUUGGCGGGGUAAUGGCCCACCAAGCCUAAGACGGGUAGCUGGUCUGAGAGGACGACCAGCCACACUGGAACUGAGACACGGUCCAGACACCUACGGGUGGCAGCAGUCGAGGAUUUUUCUCAAGUGGGGGAAACCCUGAAGGAGCGACGCCGCGUGAGGGAUGAAGGUCUUCGGAUUGUAAACCUCUGUCAUCUGGGAACAAUGUCCCGACAAAUAAGAUUUGUCGGGAUUGAUAGUACC